rnacentral:rRNA from 1 species
UAAGCGGAGGAAAAGAAACUAACAAGGAUUCCCCUAGUAACGGCGAGUGAACCGGGAAAAGCUCAAAUUUGAAAUCUGGCGUGCUCAGUGCGUCCGAGUUGUAAUCUAUAGAGAUGUUUUCCGUGCCGGACCGUGUCCAAGUCCCUUGGAACAGGGUAUCAAAGAGGGUGACAAUCCCGUACUUGACACGAUGACCGGUGCUCUGUGAUACAUCUUCUACGAGUCGAGUUGUUUGGGAAUGCAGCUCAAAAUGGGUGGUGAGUUCCAUCUAAAGCUAAAUAUUGGCGAGAGACCGAUAGCGAACAAGUACCGUGAGGGAAAGAUGAAAAGCACUUUGGAAAGAGAGUUAAACAGUACGUGAAAUUGUUGAAAGGGAAACGAUUGAAGUCAGUCGUGACUGAGAGGCUCAGCCGGUUCUGCCGGUCUAUUCCCCUCAGUCGGGUCAACAUCAGUUUUGUCCGGUGGAUAAGGGCAGCAGGAAGGUAGCACCCUCGGGUGUGUUAUAGCCUGUUGUCGCAUACAUCGGAUGAGACUGAGGAAUGCAGCUCGCCAUAAUGGCCGGGGCCCGCCCACGUACGAGCUUAGGAUGUUGACAUAAU